GUGCCAGCCGCCGCGGUAAUACAGAGGGUGCGAGCGUUGUUCGGAAUUAUUGGGCGUAAAGAGCGCGUAGGCGGUUUGCUAAGUCUGAUGUGAAAGCCCUCGGCUUAACCGAGGAAGUGCAUUGGAUACUGGCAGGCUUGAGUGUGAGAGAGGAUAGUGGAAUACCUGGUGUAGCGGUGAAAUGCGUAGAUAUCAGGUGGAACACCGGUGGCGAAGGCGGCUAUCUGGAUCAUAACUGACGCUGAGGCGCGAAAGCAUGGGGAGCAAACAGGAUUAGAAACCCUCGUAGUCC
rnacentral:rRNA from 1 species